UUCUGAUAAACACAGUUGCUCUCAGUUUCUUCCUUUUGUCAGCAAGUGAAACCCGGGCGUGGUGUUGGCGUUUGGUUACAUAGGACGACCAGCUUUACUUAUCGUGAUCUUUUUGUGGGAAGAAACAAUCGUCUGAAAUCCCAAAGAUGAUUUCCCACACUUUAAACCUCAAUAAACUGAACAAGAUAAGUCAUCGGGUGAGAAAGUUGGAAAACAAUGGAUCUCCAUAUUGCCCAGUGUUGAUGUCGCAAAUUAUUCUAUGAGUAACUCCCACCAGAGAUCCAGGCUCGGACACAGAAACGGAGAGAGACACAGAAUCUGCUGGCUCGGCACGAUCCUGAUUCCAGCUCAGAGAUACCUGCAAAUGACGCGUGAUCGAGUACUUUACAACUAAAACAACAAUGGUGGACAACAGGACUGGAGAAUGCGCAGGACUUGUGUGAAAGUAACUUUUAGAGCAUCGUUCACGAUCUCUCCGUCUGGAAGCGUGUAGUACACCAUCACACAAGCCAGUGGAGUCCAAGAGUGAUCUGUGUUCAGACUGAAGGAGGAGGAAUUCACCGUCCCA